UACGUAGGGUGCAAGCGUUGCCCGGAUUUAUUGGGCGUAAAGGGCGCGUAGGCGGCUCGGCACGUCCGUUGUGAAAUCGCCCGGCUCAACUGGGCGGGGUCAGCGGAUACGGUCGAGCUUGAGCAAGCUAGGGGGCAAUGGAAUUCCCGGUGUAGCGGUGAAAUGCGUAGAUAUGUGGAAGAACACCGGUGGCGAAGGCGGUUUUCUAGUUUAUUCCUGACGCUGAGGCGCGAAAGCAAGGGGAGCAAACAGG
rnacentral:rRNA from 1 species